rnacentral:rRNA from 1 species
AUGGCUCAGGAUGAACGCUAGCGGCAGGCUUAACACAUGCAAGUCGAGGGGCAGCAGGCCGUAGCAAUACGGUGCUGGCGACCGGCGCAAGGGUGCGUAACGCGUGAGCAACUUGCCCGCAACAGGAGGAUAACCGGAGGAAACUCCGACUAAUACUGCGUAGCAACAGGAUACGGCAUCGUAAUCUGUUUAAAGACGGAAGCGGUUGCGGAUAGGCUCGCGUGACAUUAGGUAGACGGCGGGGUAACGGCCCACCGUGCCGACGAUGUCUAGGGGUUCUGAGAGGAAGGUCCCCCACACUGGUACUGAGACACGGACCAGACUCCUACGGGAGGCAGCAGUGAGGAAUAUUGGACAAUGGUCGGAAGACUGAUCCAGCCAUGCCGCGUGAAGGCUAAGGUCCUAUGGAUUGUAAACUUCUUUUGUACGAGAGGAAUAAGGCCCACGAGUGGACCGAGGACAGUAUCGUACGAAUAAGCAUCGGCUAACUCCGUGCCAGCCGCAGC